rnacentral:rRNA from 1 species
CUACGGGUUGCAGCAGUGGGGAAUAUUGCACAAUGGGCGAAAGCCUGAUGCAGCAACGCCGCGUGAGGGACGACGGCCUUCGGGUUGUAAACCUCUUUUAGCAGGGAAGAAGCGAAAGUGACGGUACCUGCAGAAAAAGCACCGGCUAACUACGUGCCAGCAGCCGCGGUAAUACGUAGGGUGCAAGCGUUGUCCGGAAUUAUUGGGCGUAAAGAGCUCGUAGGCGGGUUGUCGCGUCGGCUGUGAAAAUCCGAGGCUCAACCUCGGACCUGCAGUGGGUACGGGCAAACUAGAGUGCGGUAGGGGAGAUUGGAAUUCCUGGUGUAGCGGUGGAAUGCGCAGAUAUCAGGAGGAACACCAAUGGCGAAGGCAGAUCUCUGGGCCGUAACUGACGCUGAGGAGCGAAAGCGUGGGGAGCGAACAGGAUUAGAUACCCCCGUAGUC